rnacentral:lncRNA from 1 species
AGAAGAAGCUGUUUUAACUCUGGUUUACAGACCCAGAAACCAGGACCAGCUACGGCAUUUGCAUGACCCAGAGUAAAAUGAAGAAUGUGAAGUUCUGUGUUCAAAAUGUACAAAGAAUGUCAAGAGGAUGACGGCCGAGCAUUAAACUAUGCACAUGUGACUAUUGCUACACAGGGCCCAGGAAGCAGGCUCUGGAGUGAACAAAGGACCAGAAAAGUUAAGUAACUUUUUCAAGAUUGCACAGCAAAUGUUGGAGCUAAAAAUUCAAGCCGAGCCUUUAAAAUGGUGUGGCUUCCCUUACCUAUUGUAAGCUCCCUGCAUUCCAGGGCUCUGACUUGAUCACCACUGAUUGCCCAGCUCACAUUGGCACUCAUCACAUCAUUCCAUAUUUGGGGGGAAUGAAUGAAUAGGUCAUUCACUCAAAGAGGUGCACGCCCUGUAAAGCC